GUGGAUUUAAAUGUUUGUUUUAUGUCGUAAGUAGAAGAAUAAGGUAUUCAUUUAUGUGCCUUAGCCUCACAAUUAUAAGAAGGUUAUUAUCAUGUUUUAUAGAUGACUACAAGCAGGCCUUGAAAAAACUUAGGAAAACCAGGCAGCAGCAUCCCAAAUUACAUUUGAUCUAUAAUUAGAGACAGACCUAAAAUCAAUGCUGCACCUUCUCCCUAUCUUCUUCUCCAUGUAACUCCGGGCCCUGUCACAGAAGGUCACCUGACGUGUUCACGGCACCCACCGAAUCAUCACAGUGCCCACUACAGAGCCAUUGUUUAAGUUCACAGGCAAAAUCCACUGCAGCCACCUCCUAGUGGAUGUUAUGCUUGAACAGAAAGUGCACGAAGUAACAGAUGGCAUCUUGUGACCUUCUUAAUAACAGGCUUGGCUGCCAAUGUUCCCUUGUGUCCAGGCUCUGCAGGGAAUUUGGAAACUGUUGCCUUACACUUGAAUAUUUUCCGGCAAACACAGUUAACCAUUUAUUAGUUAGCUUCCUAAUUUAAAAUAGAGAAAGCAAAACUACACAAAACCAAGUCCCCACCACCUGGAAGGAACACUGCUAUUUCCUGAGUUGGGAGGCCCAUCCUGGGAUUCUUUGGCAUGCGCUCAUAGAAAUCAUGUGGCAUAACUGUCCUUUACAGUGUGGUAUGAAGAGCUCAAUUCCAGGCAAAAAUGGACCUGGAAGGUCUUGUGCCAGAAUGGAAGUGCUGAGAUCUGUCCCUGCCAGACAGUGGGUGUGGAGAGCGUGGUGGAGGAAAGCCAACCAACUAUGGACUGAAACCUCUACAAACUUGCUAAAGAUGGAACCCUGGACCUCCUGGAUGCUGGUUGAACGCUCUACCACUGAACUAUACCCCCAGCCCUCUUACAUCUUUUAAAGUGAGGCUGAUACAUUGCAUUAUAUGUUUCUUCAAGAAUGAAAUUAUUUGCAAAUGCUUCUUAGUAUGCAAUCCUAGUUAAUAUUCCUUAAAAUGUUGAAAUUUGGAGCAUAAGUACCUUUGCCCUAGGGAAAAGAUUAGGCAGAUAUCUGGAGAUUCAAUUGCCUUUUCUCAUGGAGUUGAAGGGUCUUAGAGUCAUUUAAAUGAGAUCAAAAGAAGAUGGAGAUAAGAAGUGAAGGAGAGGAAGCUGCUUGUGAAUAUACCUGUACUCCCAAUACUUUGGUAGGCUGAGGCAGAAGGACUGCAAGUUUAGUCCAGCCUGGGCAUCUUAGCAUCAGAGAGACUCUGUCUCAAAAAUGAAAUAAUAAAUAAGGGCUGAGGAUAUAGCUCACUGCAAAGGCUCUGAGUUCAAUCUCCAGUACUGAAAAAAAAAAGUGAAGGAGAAGAAAGAAAACUGGACUGCCCAACUCUUUUCAACCUACUUAAUGCCAGUGAGCAGCUGGCUAUGUCCUUGUACCUUCACCUGUUCAAGCAAAAAUGGUGAUUUUACUUAAAACUCUGCUAGCAAUUAUUACUGUUUUGAGACAGGAAAAUAAUGGAACAAAUCGUGAAAGGCUAUUUGUAGAAAACACUUUUAAAUUUUCUUCUCAAAUUAUGCGACAGUCUAUAAAAUGUGGAAUAAAAUAAGGUCUUUUAAAGAUAAAUUACAGUAUAAGUGUCCCUUAUUAUCACUUCCUUGUCCUCUGUAAUAUUUUGAUUACUUUUCUCUCUCCAAAUCAAGUAUGACAUCACUUAAACAAUCAUAAUCUCAAGAAUCAAAAGUAGUGACAAUUUCGGUGAAAAUGUUUCCUUUUGAGUUCAGAUACAAUUGUGGGUUAGUUCAUCAAUCUACUAGAUGUUGAGAAAAUCUGUUAAAAAUAAGUUGGACUUCCUGGGGUGGAGGGCUUAGCAUGUGCUAGGCCUUGGAUUUGAUCCCCGACACUGAAAAUAAUGAGAGUAUAAAUGGGACAGACUAAUUUAAUUGGCAUCACAUGUGUGUAAUCUCUAACAUUUCCUAAGAGCCUCGCAUGCACGCUUCAUUCUCGCAUUUCGUGCACACUUCACUUUCUCACGGACACUUGCUCACCACUGAUUCAUCUUCUGACUUCUAUGUUGGAGAGUUCACACUAAGAACUUUCUUUUUGUAACUGGAUUCCAGUGAACUGCGCUUUUCGGCUCCAGGUUGUCAAAUGUGACAGAAGAUUAAUGAAGAGUCCUGUGACAACUCUGGAUUGCGAGGGCAAUUUAGUGAAAACAGAGGCUAAGUGACCUCAUACUAAAUCAAACCAGCAGGGGGCGCGCAAACCACCUGAUGCUAGGGAGCCUUUGGUGGCUGGCCGCGACCCCGCUGCUCUAAAGUAGCUGAUGAGUCUGACGAGCUGGUAAUAGGUAUUAAUGAAAAGGGUUUCAUGGUUAAGUUAGUUUAGAACAAAUUGUAAUAAACUUUAUUUUUCCUGUUGGGUUUCCCAGAGCUUUCUUUCAAAAGGGCCUAGACUAUGCAGUGUGGUCCUAUACUUGACCACAGAACUCUUUUUUCCAGGUGGGACAUCUCUGGAGACUGCAGUACUAGGAAACAACCAGCAGCUG
rnacentral:lncRNA from 1 species